GCGAGGCUGUGUGCACACGGCUGGCCAUCAUGGUGAAUGGACGGCUGCGCUGCCUGGGGAGUAUCCAGCACCUCAAGAACAGGUUUGGGGACGGCUACAUGAUCACUGUAAGGACCAAAAGCAGCCAGAACGUGAAGGAUGUGGUGCGGUUCUUCAACCGGAACUUCCCAGAGGCCAUGCUCAAGGUAGGUGUAGUGGGAUGGGGUGAGGGUGAGCGCGUCUCCUGCUCUGACGGCCCCUGACCUCCUCCAGGAACGCCACCAUACGAAGGUGCAGUAUCAGCUCAAGUCGGAGCACAUCUCGCUGGCUCAGGUGUUCAGCAAGAUGGAGCACGUGGUCGGUGUACUGGGCAUCGAGGACUACUCAGUCAGCCAGACCACUCUGGAUAACGUGUUUGUGAACUUCGCCAAGAAGCAAAGUGACAAUGUGGAGCAGCAAGAGGCUGAGCCAUCCACCUUGCCGUCCCCCCUUGGACUACUUAGCCUGCUGCGGCCCCGCCCUGCACCCACAGAGCUCCGGGCACUGGUGGCCGAUGAGCCUGAGGACCUGGACACGGAGGACGAGGGCCUCAUCAGCUUCGAGGAAGAGCGGGCCCAGCUCUCCUUCAACACCGAUACGCUCUGCUGACGUUCAAGAGUCACAUCAGGGAUGCAGCUGUUUGGGGCAGAAGUCAGGCGGUGGCCGUAGCCCCAGUCACACAUGCCAGGCCCUGGAAAGGCAGGUUCAGGACCAAAGGGCUCCCGC
rnacentral:lncRNA from 1 species